rnacentral:rRNA from 1 species
UAUGUAGGUGGCAAGCGUUGUCCGGAUUUAUUGGGUUUAAAGGGUGCGUAGGCGGUUUUCUAAGUCAGCAGUGAAAUACGGCAGCUCAACUGUCGAGGUGCUGUUGAUACUGGGGAACUUGAGUACUGAUGAGGUAGGCGGAAUGGACGGUGUAGCGGUGAAAUGCGUAGAUAUCAGGAGGAACACCGGUGGCGAAAGCGCUCAUCUGGCCCAAUACUGACGCUGAGGCGCGAAAGCUAGGGGAGCAAACGGG